GGCUAACGCUGGCGGCGCGCCUAACACAUGCAAGUCGAACGAACCCUUCGGGGUUAGUGGCAGACGGGUAAGUAACGCGUGGCAAAUGUGCCUCUUUGCUGGCGAUACCGUUCCGAACGGAACGUUAAUACCGAAUGUGCUUGUUUGGCGGCAUCGUCGGGCAAUUAAACUGUUCGGGUGAAGAGGGCAGUCCGCGUUCUAUCAGCUAGUUGUUGAGGUAACGGCUAACCAAGGCUACGACGGAUAACUGGUCUGAGAGGAUGAUCAGUCACACUGGAACUGAGACACGGUACAGACUACUACGGGAGGCAGCAGUGAGGAAUCUUGCACAAUGGGCGAAAGGCGGAUGCAGCGACGCCGCGUGAGGGAUGAAGGCCUUCGGGUUGUAAACCUCUGUCAGUAGGGAAGAAGAAUGACGGUACCUACUGAGGAAGCUUCGGCUAACUACGUG
rnacentral:rRNA from 1 species